ACCACGCCGCCCACAACCCCGCGGACGCGCUCGGCAGCAUCCUGACCAACCCGGAGAUCAUGCGGCAGUUGCAGAGUCUGCAGGCGCAGAUGCAGAUGAUGACCGGCCUGCAGGCGCCCACGCAGGCAGCGGGCGCGGCGGGCGCUGCCGGCG